UUGGUAGCUCCGUCAGUAGAGCAUGAGACGCUUAAUCUCAGAGUUGUGGGUUCGAGCCCCAUGUUGAAAU